rnacentral:tRNA from 1 species
CGGGCUGUGGCUCAGCUUGGUAGAGCGCUGCGUUCGGGACGCAGAGGCCGGGGGUUCAAAUCCCCCCAGCCCGACCA